UAUAUAUAGUCCGGCUAUGGUGCUUGUAAAAGCACCAAUCACUUUGUGCCUGUAGAUUUUUAACCGUUAGAUCAGCACUAUUGAUCAUUUACACCCGUUAAAUUAUACUAUUCAACCAACCACCCACUCAACCCUAGGGGGCCCACAUCAUCCUAACCACAUAUUUUUUAAUCUAAAGGCUAAAAACUUACAAGCACCAAUGUCUUGGUACUUUCAAAAGNAAAGA
rnacentral:lncRNA from 1 species